ACAUAGCCAUUAGCCCACCAAGUAUUAAAGGUACUGCCUGCCCAGUGAGGACCCCUUAAACGGCCGCGAUAAUUCGUGCGAAGGUAGCGCAAUCACUUGUCCUUUAAAUGAGGACCUGUAUGAAUGGCCACAUGAGAAAGAAACUGUCUCUUUAGGCCAGUCAGUGAAACUGAUCUCCCUGUACAAAAGCAGGAAUAAUAAAGCAAGACAAAAAGACCCUGUGAAACUUAAAAUUUACUGUCAACCCAUGACAAACACUUUUAGUUGGGGCAACUACAGAGAAACAAAACCUCAAACCACAUCAUCAAGACCAACAAGUCCAAAUGAACAUCACACCGACCCAGCACAGCUGACCAAAGAACCAAGCUACUCCAGGGAUAACAGCGCCACAUUCUUGAAGAGUCCAUAUCAACAAGAAUACCUACGACCUCGAUGUUGGAUCAGGAUAACCUGAUGGUGCAGAAGCUAUCAAGGGUUCGUUUGUUCAACGAUUAACAAUCCUACGUGAUC
rnacentral:rRNA from 1 species